CACGUAGGGCGCAAGCGUUGUCCGGAAUUAUUGGGCGUAAAGAGCUCGUAGGCGGACUGUCACGUCUGCUGUGAAAAGCUAGGGCUUAACCCUGGCCUUGCAGUGGAUACGGGCAGACUAGAGGUAGGUAGGGGAGAAUGGAAUUCCCGGUGUAGCGGUGAAAUGCGCAGAUAUCGGGAGGAACACCGGUGGCGAAGGCGGUUCUCUGGGCCUUACCUGACGCUGAGGAGCGAAAGCGUGGGGA
rnacentral:rRNA from 1 species